CCAAAAGUACAGAAAGGAAAAACACAGGGGGGAGGAACACAUUGGAACUGGACUGUGGCCAUUUUGGACACUGAAGGAAGAGAAGCAGCACUGGAACAACAAAUACAUUGAAGAGAAGCAGAAGGAAAUAAACUGGCACAACUAAAUGCAGUGAAGACUCUACGACACAGAAAAGAAAGUUAAGUACUCUUUGCAUUGUCAAGAUUAAGAGAAUACUGUUUCACAACAGACUGCGAGGAUAACUUUUUGUUUAUGUAAGCAUCCUGUUUGGAUGUUAGUGUUCUAGUUAUUAACUGUUACAUGACUCCAGUACAUAGGGCCUGUGAAUGGAAUAAGUAUACUGUUGGACUGGAAGAUAUCCUUAUUGUAUUGUGAGUGAUGACGUGUUGUAGUUUUGUCUGUCUCCAAGGCUUGCCUUCUCUCUCCCUGUUCCAUAAGGAUUGCAGAGAAGACGGACUGCUGUAGUACAUGCAGACACCCCGAUAAGCGAGGCUGUCACCUACUAGAGUUAAGUAUCAGUGGCUGGGUUGGAAGACUAAUGCCUAUGUAGGGAGGGGCUGAAUGUGGGGUGUGUAAAUUAGCCCCCCUCAGAGAGCGUGUUGGGGAGAGCGAGUAUUAAGGACGGAUUGUUUUCAUUGUUUCUCCAGGAUCGACUUCACGGAAGGUGGAAGCACCCCCUGGAGGCAGGCGUGGGAUCUGGAUGCAAAGUAUUGGAAAGGAGCCAGUUGGACUUUCAUGGACAAAUUAAAGUGCCUGCAUUAUAGACCACUUUGGUCAGCUGGCUCCAAUUUGAAAUGCUGGCAGGUGAAAAGCAUCAUCACCAGUAAGAGUCUGAACUAGAGAUACAGUGCUGUAUCGACAUUACAGAUCCUCAAUCACCCCCUAAGGGUGGAGGAGGACUGAAGAGGAUUAGUGGCUUUAUUUCCAGGGUCACUGGGACUGCCAGUCUACAGAUAAAAUAAGAUCACAAAUUGCAUUGUGGGACGCAAAGCUCGGACUGUGCUCAUUUGCCCAACCCAACUAGAUUAACUGGACUUGGUUUGGACACUUCAAAGAUAAAUGAUGCUACAUAGGUUCGGAUUCAGGUCUUGUGCAUCGUUAUGUCUGACUAUGUAUAUCAUUUGUGGUGCAUGUAGUUAGACAGGGAUAAGCAUUUAGUUAGCAGGUAAAAUUGUAGUAAUUUGUAGGUUAAAAAAAAAUAAAUUCUAGGACAAAUGUAAUAAGAAUAAAAAUUAAUUCAAGGUUUUGGUUAUUAGUAUUGUAAGUCUGUAUUCAUAGUUUUAGUAAUAGUGAUUUUUUUUUAGUGUCCAAUAUUAGUUUCUAAUUGUCUUGUCUAUUGGUUACCUAAUGCCUGGGCCCUCUUGUGGCUUUUAGUCAAUUGAUUUCUGCUGUGUUCUGGAUUGUGUGUGGGGAAAAUAAAAACAU